GCCGAAUUCUGCAAACCCCGCUACGCCCCUCCGCCGUUCACCUCGGAGGACUGUCCCCGUGCUUUACGUAGAAAACGUACGUGUACAACCCCCCCCAUCAUUUUACGCUGUUGUAGUAUUCUCAAAGAGAAACUGCGCGUUGUUGGUAACGUAGCAAUCCGUGAGGUUGAAGGGAGAUGAAAACACGCAAACGGAGAUUACGGGACGGUGUUGCGCUAUUCCUGCAGCAAGUUCAACAGGCGCAGUUUUUUUUCUUGCAUUGAUUUUGAAACUGCGUUGAACGGAGUGUUGGAAUGUGAAAAAACUAACCAAAGAGAUGACACCAAAAAGACACCAAAGCUCUCUCCCUCUGGGCGCCUCUUUCUGCAGAUCCCUGUACCCUGCUGGCCGAGCAAAUGCAUCAGAUGUGGAGGGAGGGAGAGGAGGAGGAGUUGAAGAACGUGCAAAGGAAAUCGCAAAGGAUAUGAUCAAGCCCAGAGGUGGCAACAAGCCAUCAAUCUGUCCAUCUGUCCACUGUGGCCUGUAUGGUUCCGGCCCAUUGCCUCCAUCCCAGGGCUCCCCAGCCUCGCCUUCCUUCCAGUAAAAAUACAACUGGACUCCUCAAAAGUGUUGUACCGUUAUUGUCCCUCAACCUCUGCCUCCGACACCCCCAGACAUCCCUAAAUCUCCCAUUCUCAAACGUGAUCCAGUUAGGAAAAAAAAACCAUUCUCGGUAUCCCGCCUUCUCCCCUGUAAAGUCAAUAACCCAGGCUAGUUGCUUUUGAAAGAGUCCAGCAACUUGUCAUUUCUGCGUGGGGGACAGGAACAGGGGAUCUCUGCUGAGAGCGACCAGGGGCUCUGGGGUGGGGGGGUGAUGGAGAGAACGCAGGAGGGGAACAAGGGAGGCUGGCUUCACGGAUUUCUUUCUUUCAUCUUUAAAAAGAACUGCUCGAGGAAAAAAAAAAAACA